GAUGAACGCUGGCGGCGUGCCUAAUACAUGCAAGUCGAGCGAACAGACGAGGAGCUUGCUCCUCUGACGUUAGCGGCGGACGGGUGAGUAACACGUGGAUAACCUACCUAUAAGACUGGGAUAACUUCGGGAAACCGGAGCUAAUACCGGAUAAUAUAUUGAACCGCAUGGUUCAAUAGUGAAAGACGGCUUUGCUGUCACUUAUAGAUGGAUCCGCGCCGCAUUAGCUAGUUGGUAAGGUAACGGCGUACCAAGGCAACGAUGCGUAGCCGACCUGAGAGGGUGAUCGGCCACACUGGAACUGAGACACGGUCCAGACUCCUACGGGAGGCAGCAGUAGGGAAUCUUCCGCAAUGGGCGAAAGCCUGACGGAGCAACGCCGCGUGGGGGAUGAAGGUCGUCGGAUCGUAAAACUCUGUUAUUAGGGAAGAACAAAUGUGUAAGUAACUAUGCACGGCUUGACGGUACCUAAUCAGAAAGCCACGGCUAACUACGUG
rnacentral:rRNA from 1 species